rnacentral:rRNA from 1 species
GACUGCGUGCCUUUUGAAGAAUGAGCCUGCGAGUUUGCGGUGUGUAGCGAGGUUAACCCGUGUGGGGUAGCCGUAGCGAAAGCGAGUCCGAACAGGGCGAUACAGUUGCAUGCCCAAGACCCGAAGCGGAGUGAUCUAGCCAUGGGCAGGUUGAAGCGGAGGUAAGACUUCGUGGAGGACCGAACCCACCAGGGUUGAAAAC